GACGAACGCUGGCGGCGUGCUUAACACAUGCAAGUCGAACGGUUAGGCUCUGGUGUUGUGGGGGGCUCGAGUGGUGAACGGGUGAGAACUGCGCGUGUAUUCUGCCUUAGAGUUUGGAAUAGCUUCUGGUAACUGGGGAUAACACCGGAUCGGAGCUCUUGCUGCUGGGUGGGGGCUGGCGAGUUUUGGGGGUUUGGGUUGGGCUCGCGGCUUCUCAGCUUGCUGUUGGGGUAGUGGCUUACCAAGUCAUCGACCGGUCGCCGGCCUGGGAGGGUGCCCGGCCACGUUGGGACUGGGAUACGGCCCAGACUCCUACGGGAGGCAGCAGUGGGGAAUAUUGCACAAGGGGCGGAGGCCUAAUGCAGCAACGCCACGUGCGGGAUGACAGCCUGCGGGUUGUAAACCGCUUUCGCCUGUGACGAGGCGUGAGUGACGGUAAUGGGAAAAGAAGCACCGGCUAACUACGUG
rnacentral:rRNA from 1 species